rnacentral:lncRNA from 1 species
ACGGAUAUCUAUAUAAAAUCUUCGAUCUGAUUAGAGGCUCUUGAUUUCACUGGGUUGCUAGCUCUUUUGUAGAAAUCAUUUCUUGAUGUUUGAUUCUAGUUUCUUCUUCUGAUCUCUCAAACUCUCUCAGAUCUCUGAAGAACAGAAGGAAGAUGAAGGAAAGAUUAAAAUCUAGAGAAUCCUUUUUCUUUUUUUUUUUUUCUCUCUUCCCAAAAUCCCAUGCCAUACAAUAGAAAGAAACCC